rnacentral:rRNA from 1 species
GACGAACGCUGGCGGCGUGCCUAAUACAUGCAAGUUGAGCGCUGAAGGUUGGUACUUGUACCAACUGGAUGAGCAGCGAACGGGUGAGUAACGCGUGGGGAAUCUGCCUUUGAGCGGGGGACAACAUUUGGAAACGAAUGCUAAUACCGCAUAAAAACUUUAAACACAAGUUUUAAGUUUGAAAGAUGCAAUUGCAUCACCCAAAGAUGAUCCCGCGUUGUAUUAGCUAGUUGGUGAGGUAAAGGCUCACCAAGGCGAUGAUACAUAGCCGACCUGAGAGGGUGAUCGGCCACAAUGGGACGGAGACACGGCCCAAACGCCUACGGGAGGCAGCAGUAGGGAAUCUUCGGAAAUGGACGAAAGUCUGACCGAGCAACGCCGCGUGAGUGAAGAAGGUUUUCGGAUCGUAAAACUCUGUUGGUAGAGAAGAACGUUGGUGAGAGUGGAAAGCUCAUCAAGUGACGGUAACUACCCAGAAAGGGACGGCUAACUACGUG